rnacentral:rRNA from 1 species
UACGUAGGGUGCAAGCGUUGUCCGGAAUUAUUGGGCGUAAAGAGCUCGUAGGCGGUCUGUCGCGUCUGCUGUGAAAACUCGGGGCUUAACCCCGGGCCUGCAGUGGGUACGGGCAGACUAGAGUGCGGUAGGGGAGACUGGAAUUCCUGGUGUAGCGGUGAAAUGCGCAGAUAUCAGGAGGAACACCGAUGGCGAAGGCAGCCCCCUGGGCCAAAACUGACGCUCAGGCACGAAAGCGUGGGGAGCAAACAGG